CGGACAACGCUGGCGGCGUGCUUAACACAUGCAAGUCGAACGGUGACGAGGAGCUUGCUCCUCUGAUCAGUGGCGAACGGGUGAGUAACACGUGAGCAACCUGCCCCAGACUCUGGGAUAACAGUUGGAAACAGCUGCUAAUACCGGAUACGAGACGGAGAGGCAUCUCUACCGUCUGGAAAGUUUUUCGGUCUGGGAUGGACUCGCGGCCUAUCAGCUAGUUGGUGAGGUAAUGGCUCACCAAGGCGACGACGGGUAGCCGGCCUGAGAGGGCGACCGGCCACACUGGGACUGAGACACGGCCCAGACUCCUACGGGAGGCAGCAGUGGGGAAUAUUGCACAAUGGGCGAAAGCCUGAUGCAGCGACGCCGCGUGAGGGAUGACGGCCUUCGGGUUGUAAACUUCUUUCAGCAGGGAAGAAGCGAAAGUGACGGUACCUGCAGAAGAAGCACCGGCUAACUACGUG
rnacentral:rRNA from 1 species